rnacentral:rRNA from 1 species
GACGUAGGGCGCGAGCGUUGUCCGGAUUUAUUGGGCGUAAAGAGCUCGUAGGCGGCUUGUCGCGUCGAAUGUGAAAACCCACAGCUCAACUGUGGGCUUGCAUUCGAUACGGGCAGGCUCGAGUUCGGUAGGGGGAGACUGGAAUUCCUGGUGUAGCGGUGAAAUGCGCAGAUAUCAGGAGGAACACCAAUAGCGAAGGCGGCUCACUGGACGGUACUGA